UUCACUCGAUUGUUUCCUAGUUUACACGCAUCGUUAUCUAUCUAACUUUCAAUACUUUGUUUCUCAAUCCUCCAUCCACAAUAUUCCUUUUUCAUUUCUUUCAAACAACAUGCCAUACAAUCUUAAUAAUUUUCAACUAGCUUAGGCAAAUAGAUCCUUUCAACAACCGUAAUUCCUCACAAUAUUCAACUAACCGUAAUCUUUAAAACAUAGUGUUAAGCUUACCGUUUUCCUUUUCCACUUUGAGUCCUUUAUGUACCCAUGGGUUUAUUGGAUUACAUGUUACCAAUUUUUCUCCAAUCAAGCCAAUCUUUGCUGCCACGAGACAUUUCUCUAAGUCACUAACUCAAUUUCAAAGACUACUCAAGCCAAAAACAAGAAUUCUUACCGUUCCUUACUUUAAUCACCAAAACCAAGCUUUUUCUUCCUUUCUCUCUUUUUCUUUCUUCUCCUCCUAGGGUUUAGAUGUGCUGGAAAUUAGGGUUAAAGGCUCUAAAUUUAGUGCUCAAGAAGUUUGGAGAAGAAAGGAAAAGAAAACAUGGAAAGUAAAAUGAAGAAAACUUGAUUUCAUGGUGGAUAAAGAGAAAAUGGCAUGGAAGCUUCAAGAAUG
rnacentral:lncRNA from 1 species